GUAGGUGAACCUGCGGAAGGAUCAUUAUCGUGGGGCUUCGGCCCUAUCGAGAUAGAACCCUUGCCUUUUUUGUACCUUCUGUUGCCUCGGCGUCUGCUUCACGGCGGCGCCAACGGGGCCAAAUAAUAAACUCUUUUUUAUCAUGAAAUAGUCUGAAAAAAAAAUAAAAGUUAAAACUUUCAACAACGGAUCUCUUGGUUCUGGCAUCGAUGAAGAACGCAGCAUCUGACUGACUUCAGUACGAGGCAUC
rnacentral:misc_RNA from 1 species